GUUAUGUGACCCUGCUUCAUAGAAUCAUGGGUGUGCAUCACAAUGGCCUCAGAGGUCACUGAGGGUGGCCAGAUGUCUGGGUGGAAGGGUCUCAUCCUGUUUUCCAGCUCCAUUCCAGGCAGCAUCCUCACGAACCAAAGAACGGCAUAAGGGGCCCCUGUUUCCUGAGACCCAGUCAGAGCUCCUAUACUCUCCCACCUUGUUCCUCUGAGCUGACAAAUGACAUCGGAGAGGGGACUAGGUUGGAAGGAAGACAAGGCAUUGCACUCACGCGAGGAGGAUUCAGUCUUGGUCCCUAGGGCGAUGGUGAUGAGGAGGAAGAAGGGAAUGGCAGCCACGGAGAUCUUCAUGCUGUGGGAAGCUGUUGCGGGAGGAGAGCUGGCCUGGUGGGAGCUUCAGAGGCUCCUGCGGUGAGGAAUUGUUGAGAAA